AGAAGUUCCUGGUGCCACACGACCAGGAAGGGCGGGUAGUGCUGGAGACUGCGAGGUCUGAUGGCAUUUCAGGAACUUCUGUCCUCCAGACCUCUCCCCCAGGCUCUGUCCAGGGGCAGGGGGGCAGGAAGGACAGCAGAGUGCUCGUCUCUGAAACCCACUCUUUGGAGCCUGCCAGACCCAGGUUCCAAUCUUGGCUGCGGUGUGGCUUCGGACAAAUGACUCAACCUCUCCACCUUCAUUUCCUUGUCUAUAAAAUGGCAGUCAUGGUAGAACUUGAAGUUUAUCUAAGAAGCUCUAUAAGGUUUAAAAUUUAGUCUAGAGCCACCCUCAGUACAGGCGGGGUCAUUAUCAUGUUACUACUAGUAGUUCGACAACUACUCCUGACGCCCUGACCCCCUCGUCAAUACAUAUUGGUUGUUCAGAAGGGCAAAUCUGGGGCCAGAGUGACUGAGUUUGAAUCCCUGCUCUGCUGCUUUCCGACUUAUUUAACUUUAGGCAAGCUGCCUCCCCAUUCUGAACCCCAGUUUCCUUAUCUUUAAAAUGAGAAAAAUUAAAGUAAGACCUUCCACAAAGAAUGGCUAUAAAAAGCCAAUGAGUUUGUGUAUAUAAAGCACAUAGUUCAGUGCAGAAUAAAUCACGUCAUGAUGACCCGACCCUCUUCCACUCUCAGGCCACAACGGCAGCCAGUGAGUAGGCUCAGGAGAGUUCUGGGCAAGGGGGUCCUUGAGUGAACAGGGUGGUGGUGGGGGGGUCUUCUGAAACGGGACAUGCUUGUCCUGCACCCUGUAGUAUGAAUGGCAUGGUGCAGGGCAUCAUGGGAAGGAAGCAUCCUCACACCUGGCCCCUUCCUAGAGCAGAAAGAAAGAGCCAGCUUCUGCCCAGGGGACUGCCAGGCAGAACCAGGCCCGGAGAUGCGACAGGCAGGAUGACCUGUUCGCGGACCUGGCCAACCUGAGCCACCUCUUCCUCCACGGGAACCGCCUGCGGCUGCUCACGGAGCACGUGUUCCGCGGCCUGUGCAGCCUGGACCGGCUGCUGCUGCACGGGAACCGGCUGCAGGGCGUGCACCGCGCGGCCUU
rnacentral:lncRNA from 12 species